rnacentral:rRNA from 1 species
CAUCUCAAUUCUACCACCCUGAUUGUGCCUGAUCUCAUCUGAUCUGAGAAGAUAGGUGGGGUCGGGCCUGAUUUGUACUUGGAGGGGAGAAUUGAGAUAU